rnacentral:rRNA from 1 species
UGAAAAUCAAAGGAAUUGACGGGGGCCCGCCCCAGCGGUGGAGCAUGUGGUUUAAUUUGAAGCAACGGGAAGAACCUUACCCGGUCCUGACCUCGUAUGACAACCCUAGAGAUAGGGCUUUCCCCUUCGGGGGAUAGAGUGCCAGGUGGUCCAUGGUUGUCUUCAGUUCGUUUCGUGAGAUGUUGGGUUAAGUCCCGCAACGAGCCCAACCCUUGCUUUUAUUUGCCACCAUUCAAUUGGGCCCUUUAAGGUGACUGCCGGUGGCCAACCGGAGGAAGGUGGGGAAGGCGUCAAAUCAUCCUGCCCCUUAUGACCUGGGGUACCCCCCUGGUUCAAAGGAUGGUACAAAAGGGUGCACACCUCCGAAGGUAAGGGAAUUCCCUAAAACCAUUUUCAGUUCGGAUUGCAGGUUGCAACUCGCCUGCAUGAAGCCGGAAUCGGUAGUAAUCGCGGAUCAGCAUGACGCGGUGAAUAAGUUCCCGGGCCUUGUACCCCCCCCCCGUCACAGCUCAAAAAAUAAAAACAUCCGUU